rnacentral:rRNA from 1 species
UACAGAGGGUGCGAGCGUUGUUCGGAAUUAUUGGGCGUAAAAGCGCGUGUGAGCGGUCUGUUAUGUCGGGUGUGAAAGCCCUCAGCUUAACUGAGGAAGUGCGCCCGAAACUGGCAGACUUGAGUGCCGGAGAGGAUAGCGGAACACCGGUGUAGAGGUGAAAUUCGUAGAUAUCGGGUAGAACACCAGUGGCGAAGGCGGCUAUCUGGACGGACACUGACGCUGAGACGCGAAACGUGG